CUGAUCACCGUGGCAAGUUUGCUGAGAUAAAAGACCUCUCCCAUCUACAGAGCAGAGAGUAGAGUACAGCCAGCAGCUCUGGGAGCAGAUGGAUGCCUGAUGUACCCAAGGUCUUUUCUUUAUACAGCUGAAUUGAAUCCUAACUUGUAAGAGCCAUGAGCAUCAAGUCCUGAGGAUGAAGGAGGGAGAUACAUACCAGGAACUGACAGAGUGGCCACAUCAGGAAGACUUAACCACAAGCAGCAACUUGCCCUGCUUGAAGCCCUGCCCAGCGAGGGGGAAACGUUGAGAUAUUAGGGUUUGGUGGCUGGGUUCUCUGGGACAGAUUCUCUGGACACCAAAUGAAGCUAAGUGGGCCUGAAGGCUGGUGGCUGAAGUUUAACUUGGAGCUGGAGUGGAUAUCAGUUCCACGAUCGUCCUUGGACAAGAGACAAAGGAGAUUUUCAACAACAUAGAAAAGCAUGGAUUUCUGAAACCAAUAAAACCAGCAGUUCAGCCAAUGGUAGAUGCUCAGGGUCAACAAACUGCAAGACAAUAUCUGUCUGAUGGUUAAUCUUAUCAACUUGACGAAAUUUAGAAUCACCUAGGAAACCCACCUCCCGGUAUGUCUGUGAGGGCAUCUCUAGAGAUGUUUGGCUAAAGCAGGAAAGUCUGCCCUCAAUCUGGGUAGCACUAUCCUGUGGCCGGGGGUCCCAGAUUGAAUAAAAAGGAGAAAAGCUGAGCGGCAGUGUCCAUCUCUCUGUUUCCUGAUUGUGGACACAGUAUGACCAGCUACCUCCAGCUCUGCUGCUACGCUUUCCUCACCAUGGUGGACUGUACCUUCAAGCUGUGACUCAAACCCUCCCUUCCUUAAUUUGUUUUGCUCGGAUGUUCUGUUACAACAGUGAGGAAAAUAACUAAUGUGGUUUUAUACUCAAACUGUCACAGGUGUACCCAUGUUCAUAGCAAUACCAGGCAUAACACUGUCACCCAAAAGUCGAAGCAACCCAGGUGCCCAUCAAGAGAUGAAGGCAAACAGAUGGAGAUUAACACAGAGACCCACAAAUAGUCAACAUGUAGAAAAUAGGAGGCCACAGAAUGCCCAGGCCUAAGUGGGACACCUGUAUUGUACUUCCAAAGGCUCAAGGGUCAUUGCAGAAGAGGGGGCAGAAAGAUUCUAAAGCCAGAAGUGGUAGGCGAAUACAAGGGAACGGUUGACUGACACUAUGGGGUAGUUGCAUACAUGAACUAACAGUACUUGUGUCAAUCUGCACAAGAACUGUGCAAGCCUAAGCCAGACGGGGUCCAGCAUGAAUGGAAGAGGUAGGCAGGAAGCCCAGGCCUAGCUGAGGCUCUAUUGGAAUUGAUAGCUACUGGGAAAGGAAAAGUCAGUUUUCCUUACUGGUGUGACACCUGGUGGGUUAACCAGACCCCAGGGCAUGGACUCAUUCCCAGGAGCACUUAGGAGGCAUAGAUUGGAAUCAAUAGGCUUUUAAAAACAGAGACUAAAUAAAUCAAUAAAA